rnacentral:rRNA from 1 species
UUUGUGGAAGGCCUCCCGUGCGCGUCGAGCGGUAGCGGGGAAGUAGCUUGCUACUUUUGCCGGCGAGCGGGCACGGAGGAGUAAUGUCUGGCAAAGUGCGAAGUCCAGGGGCAUAACAGUUGGAAACGACUGCGAAUACCGCAUACGCCCUACGCGGGAAAGCAGGGCACCUUCGGGACUUGCGCGAUUGUAUAUGCCCGGGUGGGAUUAGCUUGUUGGUGAGGCAAUGGCUCACCCCGGCGACGAUCCCUAGCUGGGCUGAGAGGAUGAUCAGCCACACUGGAACUGACCCAGGUUCAACUCUUCUACGGGAGGCCGCAGUGGGGACUAUUGCACAAUGGCGGAAACCCUGAUGCAGCCAUGCCGCGUGUGCUAUUAAGGCCUUCAGGCUCUUAAGCACUUUCGGCGAGGAGGAAAGGUUAUAACCUAAUACGUUUCUUUAAAAAUUUUUACUCGCCAAAGAGGCACAUGGCUAACUCCGUGCCAGCAGACGCGGUAAUACGGGAGGGUGAAGCGUUAAACGGAAUUACUGGGCGUAAAGCGCACGCAGGCGGUUGGAUAAGUUAGAUGUGAAAGCUCCCGGGCUCAACCUGGGAAUUGCAUUUAAAACUGUCCGUCUAGAGUCUUGUGUGAGGGGUGUAGAAUUCCUCGUUGAACGGGUGAAAUGCUUUAGAGAUC